CAAAACAAAGAAGACACACUGGCGAAAGCAUGCACAGAUAACUUUGUCUGGAUGGACGACGAGGUGGAGAUGCUACAGUAACAGAUCUACACUUCACUUCAAAUCAACAGGAAACAUCAGUCAAAGUUUACAUGUGAAGGAAGGACAAAAGAAUGGUUCCUUGGUCACAUCCCAGAGGGUUUUCACAUGCAGGGACAGAAGAAAAAACAAAGCAGUUAAUCGAUCUACGGAUUAAAAAUGAGUCUCUUCACUAAAAAAAGGAAUGCUGCAAAGCAGGGAUGGAGACACUUUGAUCUCUGAGGUUGAGAACUUGAUGGACAGCGAAGGUGAAGAAUACGGAGCCACAAAUGGAGAUUCACCCAGUGAUUCACCUCCAGUCAAAUGCCCAUGCCUUCUUUCUCGCUACAAGGCUCACAAAAAGCGCAGCUCAGGCCAGGAUUCAAGCAUCAGAACACAGAUAAGCAAAUACUUUGAUGCCAUACAGGACACAGACACUGACAAUGCACUUGUCUUCUGGUACAAAAACCAUGACCGAUUCCCACAACUCCACAACUUGGCACUGAAGGUGCUGUCAGUUCCUGCAUCCUCCGCACCAGUUGAGAGGGUUUUUAGUAGAGGAGGCAUCAUAAUGAGACUCCACCGUGCACGUUUAGGUCACAGAAUGCUGCAGUCUCAUCUUUUCUGAAAUGCAACCAUGCUCUUCUUUAAAUCUUAAUUUCCAUGGAAAGAAAUGGGACCUUUGAGGUCUUUAGCAACAAGCCCUUUAUGAGUUUACUGUUAUUGUUGAGCUUAGACCUUUAGGGGUGUUUUGUUACCACAUGUUGUUCAGGCUUGGCAUGACAUCAUUUUCAGUUCAACUAUUCUAGAUUAAUGUUGUAAUUUCAUGAAGGAAAGACCCACAUUCAAGAAUGUUAACAAAAAAUACCUUACUGAAAUGUCAGCUUUUUUCACACAGCUCAUUUAAUUUAGGCCUUGUUCUUUACUUUUUUCAUUUUUUCUCUCUGAAAUGAAAGGUUUAUUGUGACUUGUCAGGUCAAUUUAGUUUUGAUAAUAUGAUGGUGAACUUUUUCAAGAAGUGAAGCACAACAAGUUUGCUAAGAUUUGAGAUUUGUUUCAUUGUGCUGCUUUGAAAAGAACAGAGUAGAGAUUGUUUUUGUUGUGGUGGUAUUCACUUAAAAGCAAACUUAAAUAAAAAGAAAACUCACAUUU